UCCCGCCUUGAUGUAGUUGGUUCUUCUGUUGCCAGGAAGGUUAUGAAUAUUUGUUUAUUCUUUUAAUAACUAUUUGUACGCCCUGUUUUUCCCCUGGAAACUUCGCUCAAAUGUUUAAAAAUUUUACAAGCAGCAGUUGCUGGAGUUGGAAAAAUUGAACUUUUGCUACUUGACACACUGUUAGGGUUCCAGUUUGUGUGGGUUGUUUGGUGUUCUCUUUUUGUGUCUCUAUCCAUCCACUUGAUAGUGCCCUCGUUUCUCUGUUGGCCUGGAGAGCCUCUUCCUGGUGUCAACCACCCACACCUGGUCAUUUGGUCAUCACCAUCAGAGGAGUAUAUAGGCAGCGGACUGUCACCUCCUCUACGCCAGAGUGUUUGAACCAAGGAGCAACCACAAACUAUUAUAAGUUUCCGGUUCCGGUUCAUCUGACCGCUGGAUAUUCCCCAAGCUGAGAAACCCAUGUUUUGUCUCUCUGAGGACCACUGUUUGUCUCUCUGAGUUCCACACCAUGCAAUAAACUGUUUAACUUUUA